rnacentral:misc_RNA from 1 species
GUUGUUGUCGUUGUCUUCGUCUUUGUUAGCAUAGCUAUUAUGGUGUAUAAAAUGAUUUUUACCUUGCCUCAGUUUAGAUUUCUCAAAAGGAAGUUCAUUUUGGCUGCUGGUAAUGUCUUAAAGAAACCAUAACUUAUAUGGAACUUUUAAGAGCUUGUUUACACUGAUCUGCAAUCUGUAUCAUAUGUACUUUCUUUCAGUUAUCAUAUGUCUGUUGCCAUUUUGUUAUUUGCUUUGUUUUUCUGGUAUCCGGGCAUGAUUGCAAGAGUUGUGGAGUGUCUUGUCAAUUGUAAAGGUAUAAAAGUAGAAGA